AGAAAACUGCUUUCAGAAGCCUCUUACUAAUGGGAUUUUGUUACAGUCAUCUGUUUGGGGGAUUAAAAAAAGAGGCAACCUGCAUAAUUUAAACCUAUGAGAAACACAGCCAAAGGAUUUAAGUGUCCUUGGGUGCUGGU